GGGUAGGUAGCGAAGUGGUUAAACGCAUCAGACUGUAAAUCUGACGACUGAUGUCUUCGGAGGUUCGAAUCCUUCCCUACCCA
rnacentral:tRNA from 1 species